UACGUAGGGCGCAAGCGUUGUCCGGAAUUAUUGGGCGUAAAGAGCUCGUAGGUGGCGUGUCGCGUCUGCCGUGAAAGCCCAUGGCUUAACUGUGGGUCUGCGGUGGAUACGGGCAGGCUGGAGGCUGGUAGGGGCAAGCGGAAUUCCCGGUGUAGCGGUGAAAUGCGCAGAUAUCGGGAAGAACACCCGUGGCGAAGGCGGUUCUCUGGGACGGUACUGACGCUAAGGCGCGAAAGCGUGGGGAGCGAACAGG
rnacentral:rRNA from 1 species